UAAAGCCAUUUUCUAUGCAGUCACCACACAUCUCGCGAAUGUCUACUAGCAAGGGUCUAUUAGGGGUCAGCCUGGCCCAAAAGAACCACUCAGACAAUGCCAGCAUCAGGAGCCAGGCACCUACCGAGUCACAUUACAGAAAUUGGCUUUUUGGGUUGGUGGCCAGCGAUGACAGAAGGGUACAGAGUACAACAGGCAGCCUAUACUCCAUACUGAACUGGGGACCUCAGCAACAGACACAAGUUGGCCUGAGCAUCACCUGCAGAAGUAUCUACCGAAAACCAGCUCAAGAUAUUUCUGCUGGAAGGAAAGGCUUGGCCAUCCCAUGUUUCCCAAGAGCCUCUG